AUGAACGCUGGCGGCGUGCUUAACACAUGCAAGUCGAACGGUGAAGGUGGAGCUUGCUCUGCUGGAUCAGUGGCGAACGGGUGAGUAACACGUGAGCAAUCUGCCCUUGACUCUGGGAUAAGCGCUGGAAACGGCGUCUAAUACUGGAUAUGAGCUGCGACCGCAUGGUCAGUAGUUGGAAAGAAUUUCGGUCAAGGAUGAGCUCGCGGCCUAUCAGCUUGUUGGUGAGGUAAUGGCUCACCAAGGCGUCGACGGGUAGCCGGCCUGAGAGGGUGACCGGCCACACUGGGACUGAGACACGGCCCAGACUCCUACGGGAGGCAGCAGUGGGGAAUAUUGCACAAUGGGCGCAAGCCUGAUGCAGCAACGCCGCGUGAGGGAUGACGGCCUUCGGGUUGUAAACCUCUUUUAGCAGGGAAGAAGCGAAAGUGACGGUACCUGCAGAAAAAGCGCCGGCUAACUACGUGCCAGCAGCCGCGGUAAUACGUAGGGCGCAAGCGUUAUCCGGAAUUAUUGGGCGUAAAGAGCUCGUAGGCGGUUUGUCGCGUCUGCUGUGAAAUCCCGAGGCUCAACCUCGGGUCUGCAGUGGGUACGGGCAGACUAGAGUGCGGUAGGGGAGAUUGGAAUUCCUGGUGUAGCGGUGGAAUGCGCAGAUAUCAGGAGGAACACCGAUGGCGAAGGCAGAUCUCUGGGCCGUAACUGACGCUGAGGAGCGAAAGGGUGGGGAGCAAACAGGCUUAGAUACCCUGGUAGUCCACCCCGUAAACGUUGGGAACUAGUUGUGGGGUCCAUUCCACGGAUUCCGUGACGCAGCUAACGCAUUAAGUUCCCCGCCUGGGGAGUACGGCCGCAAGGCUAAAACUCAAAGGAAUUGACGGGGACCCGCACAAGCGGCGGAGCAUGCGGAUUAAUUCGAUGCAACGCGAAGAACCUUACCAAGGCUUGACAUAUACGAGAACGGGCCAGAAAUGGUCAACUCUUUGGACACUCGUAAACAGGUGGUGCAUGGUUGUCGUCAGCUCGUGUCGUGAGAUGUUGGGUUAAGUCCCGCAACGAGCGCAACCCUCGUUCUAUGUUGCCAGCACGUAAUGGUGGGAACUCAUGGGAUACUGCCGGGGUCAACUCGGAGGAAGGUGGGGAUGACGUCAAAUCAUCAUGCCCCUUAUGUCUUGGGCUUCACGCAUGCUACAAUGGCCGGUACAAAGGGCUGCAAUACCGUAAGGUGGAGCGAAUCCCAAAAAGCCGGUCCCAGUUCGGAUUGAGGUCUGCAACUCGACCUCAUGAAGUCGGAGUCGCUAGUAAUCGCAGAUCAGCAACGCUGCGGUGAAUACGUUCCCCGGGUCUUGUACACACCGCCCGUCAAGUCAUGAAAGUCGGU
rnacentral:rRNA from 1 species